AGGACGAACGCUGGCGGCGCGCCUAACACAUGCAAGUCGAGCGAUAACCAGGGCUUGCCCUGGGGACAGCGGCGAACGGGUGCGUAACACGUGAGCAACCUGCCCCAAAGACCGGGACAACCCGAGGAAACUCGGACUAAUACCGGAUGUCCUCACCGGAUCGCAUGAUCUGGUGAGGAAAUGGAUUCCGCUUUGGGAUGGGCUCGCGGUCUAUCAGCUUGUUGGUGGGGUAACGGCCUACCAAGGCGACGACGGAUAGCUGGUCUGAGAGGACGAUCAGCCACACUGGGACUGAGACACGGCCCAGACUCCUACGGGAGGCAGCAGUGGGGAAUCUUGCGCAAUGGGGGAAACCCUGACGCAGCGACGCCGCGUGCGGGAUGAAGGCCUUCGGGUUGUAAACCGCUUUCAGCAGGGACGAAAUUGACGGUACCUGCAGAAGAAGGCCGGCCAACUACGUGCCAGCAGCCGCGGUAA
rnacentral:rRNA from 1 species